UCUGCCUACGGGGCGCAGCAGUCGGGAAUAUUGCACAAUGGAGGAAACUCUGAUGCAGUGACACCGCGUAUAGGAAGAAGGUUUUCGGAUUGUAAACUAUUUUAGACAGGGAAGAAAAAAGACAGUACCUGUAGAAUAAGCUCCGGCUAACUACGUGCCAGCAGCCGCGGUAAUACGUAGGGAGCAAGCGUUAUCCGGAAUUAUUGGGUGUAAAGGGUGCGUAGGCGGAAUGCCAAGUCAGCGGUAAAAUCGCGGGGCUCAACCUCGCUCCGCCGUUGAAACUGGCGUUCUUGAGUGGGCGAGAA
rnacentral:rRNA from 1 species